rfam:Triticum aestivum genome assembly, contig: Triticum_aestivum_CS42_TGACv1_scaffold_221808_3B
UAAGUACUCCCUCCAUCCCAAAAUUCUUGUCUUAGAUUUGUCUAGAUAUGGAUGUAUCUAACAUUAAAACGUAACUAGAUACAUUCGUAUUUAGACAAAUCUAAGACAAGAAUUUUGAGACGGAGGGAGUAUAUU